rnacentral:RNase_P_RNA from 1 species
GAAGCGCGCCAGACCGCCGCUGGUGCAAUCUGGGAAACCAGGCACUGGAGGAACGUCCGGACUGCACAGGACAGCGUAGCAGCUAACGGCUGCCCACCGUGAGGUGAGGAUCAGAGCAACAGAGACGAGUCAGGUCGUUUUCUCAGCCACCAAGGGUGUUCUAUGGGGGGGCCAGCGCAAGCUGGCACCGGCUGGCGCAAGCCAGACGCUCAGGCGAAAGUCUGAAGCCCCAUAGCCGCCCAAGGCGCGGAACGCGACUUGGGUGAAACGGGCAAUCUCUACGCGCAGCAAUACCAAGUAGGCCAACGUUGAUGUGGUUCCGCAGAGUUGGCGGGUAGGUAGCACCGAGCCGUGGUGGCGACACCCGGCCCAGAGUAAUGGCGGUCACGCCCGGGCAACCGGGUGCACAGAAUCCGGCUUAUCGGCGCGCUUCACAC